rnacentral:RNase_P_RNA from 1 species
GAAGAGGGCCAGAUGAUCGCCGGUCAGGGCAACCGGGCCGGAGGAAAGUCCGGGCUCCACAGGGCAGGGUGCUGGGUAACUCCCAGGAGGGGCGACCCUACGGAAAGUGCCACAGAAACCAGACCGCCGUGGCCUAACCUCCACGGUAAGGGUGAAAGGGUGAGGUAAGAGCUCACCGGUGCCGGUGGCGACACCGGCAGCCAGGAAAACCCCACCCGGAGCAAGACCAAAUAGGGGAGCGUCGAAGGGUGGCCCGCCCGAAGCUCCCGGGUAGGUCGCAGGAGGCCCCGGGCAACCGGGGUCCCAGAGGAAUGAUCAUCACCGGAAAAUUCCGGCACAGAACCCGGCUUACGGCCCUCUUCGCCA